GAAAAGAAACUAACAAGGAUUCCCCUAGUAACUGCGAGUGAAGCGGGAAAAGCUCAAAUUUAAAAUCUGGCGGUCUUUGGCCGUCCGAGUUGUAGUCUGGAGAAGUGCUUUCCGCGCUGGACCGUGUAUAAGUCUCUUGGAACAGAGCGUCAUAGAGGGUGAGAAUCCCGUCUUUGACACGGACUACCAGUGCUUUGUGAUGCGCUCUCAAAGAGUCGAGUUGUUUGGGAAUGCAGCUCAAAAUGGGUGGUGAAUUCCAUCUAAAGCUAAAUAUUGGCGAGAGACCGAUAGCGAACAAGUACCGUGAGGGAAAGAUGAAAAGCACUUUGGAAAGAGAGUUAAACAGUACGUGAAAUUGCUGAAAGGGAAACGCUUGAAGUCAGUCGCGUUGUCUGGGACUCAGCCUUGCUUUUGCUUGGUGCACUUUCCGGAUGACGGGCCAGCAUCGAUUUUGACCGUCGGAAAAGGGCUAGGGUAAUGUGGCACCUCCGGGUGUGUUAUAGACUUUAGUCGCAUACGGCGGUCGGGAUCGAGGAACGCAGCGCGCCGUAAGGCAGGGGUUCGCCCACUUUCGCGCUUAGGAUGCUGGCGUAAUGGCUUUAAACGACCCGUCUUGAAACACGGACCAAGGAGUCUAACAUACCUGCGAGUGUUUGGGUGGAAAACCCGAGCGCGUAAUGAAAGUGAAAGUUGAGACCUCUGUCGUGGAGGGCAUCGACGCCCGGACCUGACGUUCUCUGACGGAUCCGCGGUAGAGCAUGUAUGUUGGGACCCGAAAGAUGGUGAACUAUGCCUGAAUAGGGUGAAGCCAGAGGAAACUCUGGUGGAGGCUCGUAGCGAUUCUGACGUGCAAAUCGAUCGUCAAAUUUGGGUAUAGGGGCGAAAGACUAAUCGAACCAUCUAGUA
rnacentral:rRNA from 1 species